GCAAGUCGAGGGGCAGCAUGAACUUAGCUUGCUAAGUUUGAUGGCGACCGGCGCACGGGUGAGUAACACGUAUCCAACCUCCCGCUUACUCAGGAAUAGCCUUUCGAAAGAAAGAUUAAUGCCUGAUGGUAUCUUAAGCACACAUGUAAUUAAGAUUAAAGAUUUAUCGGUAAGCGAUGGGGAUGCGUUCCAUUAGGUAGUAGGCGGGGUAACGGCCCACCUAGCCGACGAUGGAUAGGGGUUCUGAGAGGAAGGUCCCCCACAUUGGAACUGAGACACGGUCCAAACUCCUACGGGAGGCAGCAGUGAGGAAUAUUGGUCAAUGGGCGCGAGCCUGAACCAGCCAAGUAGCGUGAAGGAUGAAGGUCCUAUGGAUUGUAAACUUCUUUUAUACGGGAAUAAAGUGGUCCACGUGUGGGCCUUUGCAUGUACCGUAUGAAUAAGCAUCGGCUAACUCCGUGCCAGCAGCCGCGGUAAUACGGAGGAUGCGAGCGUUAUCCGGAUUUAUUGGGUUUAAAGGGAGCGCAGACGGGGGAUUAAGUCAGUUGUGAAAGUUUGCGGCUCAACCGUAAAAUUGCAGUUGAUACUGGUUCCCUUGAGUGCAGUUGAGGCAGGCGGAAUUCGUGGUGUAGCGGUGAAAUGCAUAGAUAUCACGAAGAACCCCGAUUGCGAAGGCAGCCUGCUAAGCUGUAACUGACGUUGAGGCUCGAAAGUGUGGGUAUCAAACAGGAUUAGAUACCCUGGUAGUCCACACGGUAAACGAUGGAUACUCGCUGUUGGCGAUAUACUGUCAGCGGCCAAGCGAAAGCAUUAAGUAUCCCACCUGGGGAGUACGCCGGCAACGGUGAAACUCAAAGGAAUUGACGGGGGCCCGCACAAGCGGAGGAACAUGUGGUUUAAUUCGAUGAUACGCGAGGAACCUUACCCGGGCUUUAAAUUGCAGACGAAUUACUUGG
rnacentral:rRNA from 1 species